CUUACACAUGCAAGUCGAACGGGCGUAGCAAUACGUCAGUGGCAGACGGGUGAGUAACGCGUGGGAACGUACCUUUUGGUUCGGAACAACUGAGGGAAACUUCAGCUAAUACCGGAUAAGCCCUUACGGGGAAAGAUUUAUCGCCGAAAGAUCGGCCCGCGUCUGAUUAGCUAGUUGGUGGGGUAAUGGCCCACCAAGGCGACGAUCAGUAGCUGGUCUGAGAGGAUGAUCAGCCACAUUGGGACUGAGACACGGCCCAAACUCCUACGGGAGGCAGCAGUGGGGAAUAUUGGACAAUGGGGGCAACCCUGAUCCAGCCAUGCCGCGUGAGUGAUGAAGGCCCUAGGGUUGUAAAGCUCUUUUGUGCGGGAAGAUAAUGACGGUACCGCAAGAAUAAGCCCCGGCUAACUUCGUGCCAGCAGCCGCGGUAAUACGAAGGGGGCUAGCGUUGCUCGGAAUCACUGGGCGUAAAGGGUGCGUAGGCGGGUUUCUAAGUCAGAGGUGAAAGCCUGGAGCUCAACUCCAGAACUGCCUUUGAUACUGGAAGUCUUGAGUAUGGCAGAGGUGAGUGGAACUGCGGAGUGUAGAGGUGAAAUUCGUAGAUAUUCGCAAGAACACCAGUGGCGAAGGCGGCUCACUGG
rnacentral:rRNA from 1 species